rnacentral:rRNA from 1 species
AGAGUUUGAUCCUGGCUCAGAACGAACGCUGGCGGCGUGCCUAACACAUGCAAGUCGAACGUGAAAGUCCUUCGGGAUGAGUAAAGUGGCGCACGGGUGAGUAAUGCGUAGAUAAUCUGCCUGGUGAUCUGGGAUAACAUCUCGAAAGGGGUGCUAAUACCGGAUAAGCCCACGGAGUCUUCGGACUUUGCGGGAAAAGGGGGGGACCUUCGGGCCUUCUGUCACCAGAUGAGUCUACGUACCAUUAGCUAGUUGGUGGGGUAAGAGCCCACCAAGGCUACGAUGGUUAGCUGGUCUGAGAGGAUGAUCAGCCACACUGGAACUGAGACACGGUCCAGACUCCUACGGGAGGCAGCAGUGGGGAAUUUUGCGCAAUGGGGG